ACGCUGGCGGCGUGCCUAACACAUGCAAGUCGAACGGAGAUGAUGGGAUAGCUUGCUAUUUAAUCAUCUUAGUGGCGGACGGGUGAGUAACACGUGGGCAACCUGCCCCAAAGAGGGGGAUAACACCGAGAAAUCGGUGCUAGUACCGCAUAAUAUUAGAGCUUCGCAUGGAGCUUUAAUCAAAGGAGCAAUCCGCUUUGGGAUGGGCCCGCGUCUGAUUAGCUAGUUGGUGAGGUAACGGCUCACCAAGGCGACGAUCAGUAGCCGAUCUGAGAGGAUGACCGGCCACACUGGAACUGAGACACGGUCCAGACUCCUACGGGAGGCAGCAGUGGGGAAUAUUGCACAAUGGGGGAAACCCUGAUGCAGCAACGCCGCGUGGAGGAAGAAGGUCUUCGGAUUGUAAACUCCUGUCUUCUGGGACGAAUAAUGACGGUACCAGAGGAGGAAGCCACGGCUAACUACGUG
rnacentral:rRNA from 1 species